rnacentral:rRNA from 1 species
GUAGGUGGCAAGCGUUGUCCGGAAUUAUUGGGCGUAAAGCGCGCGCAGGCGGUUCUUUAAGUCUGAUGUGAAAGCCCACGGCUCAACCGUGGAGGGUCAUUGGAAACUGGAGAACUUGAGUACAGAAGAGGAAAGCGGAAUUCCACGUGUAGCGGUGAAAUGCGUAGAGAUGUGGAGGAACACCAGUGGCGAAGGCGGCUUUCUGGUCUGUAACUGACGCUGAGGCGCGAAAGCGUGGGGAGCAGACAGGAUUAGAUACCCUGGUAGUCCACGCCGUAAACGAUGAGUGCUAAGUGUUAGGGGGUUUCCGCCCCCCUUAGUGCUGCAGCUAACGCAUUAAGCACUCCGCCUGGGAGUACGGCCGCAAGGCUG